UACGGAGGGGGCUAGCGUUGUUCGGAAUUACUGGGCGUAAAGCGCACGUAGGCGGCGAUUUAAGUCAGAGGUGAAAGCCCGGGGCUCAACCCCGGAACAGCCUUUGAGACUGGAUUGCUUGAACAUCGGAGAGGUGAGUGGAAUUCCGAGUGUAGAGGUGAAAUUCGUAGAUAUUAGGAGGAAUACCGGUGGCGAAGGCGGCCUUCUGGACCAUUCUUGACACUGAGACGCGAAAGCGUGGGUAGCAAACAGG
rnacentral:rRNA from 1 species